rnacentral:misc_RNA from 1 species
GAUGAAGAACGCAGCGAAACGCGAUAUGUAAUGUGAAUUGCAGAAUUCAGUGAAUCAUCGAAUCUUUGAACGCACAUGGCGCCUUCCAGUAUCCUGGGAGGCAUGCCUGUCCGAGCGUCGUUUCUACCCUCGAGCCCCCGUGGCCCGGCGUUGGGGAUCUGCCCAGGCAGUCCCCGAAAACCAGUGGCGGACCCGUUACAGGCCCUUCCCUUGCGUAGUAGCAUUCGCCUCGCAUCGGGAGCCGGCGGGCUUCCAGCCUCUAAACCCCCAUCAAGUCCGCCCCGGCGGCACCAAGGUUGACCUCGGAUCAGGUAGGAAUACCCGCUGAACUUAAGCAUAUCAAUAAGCGGAGGA